AGUAGAACGCUGAAGAGAGGAGCUUGCUCUUCUUGGAUGAGUUGCGAACGGGUGAGUAACGCGUAGGUAACCUGCCUUGUAGCGGGGGAUAACUAUUGGAAACGAUAGCUAAUACCGCAUAACAAUGGAUGACACAUGUCAUUUAUUUGAAAGGGGCAAUUGCUCCACUACAAGAUGGACCUGCGUUGUAUUAGCUAGUAGGUGAGGUAACGGCUCACCUAGGCGACGAUACAUAGCCGACCUGAGAGGGUGAUCGGCCACACUGGGACUGAGACACGGCCCAGACUCCUACGGGAGGCAGCAGUAGGGAAUCUUCGGCAAUGGGGGCAACCCUGACCGAGCAACGCCGCGUGAGUGAAGAAGGUUUUCGGAUCGUAAAGCUCUGUUGUAAGUCAAGAACGAGUGUGAGAGUGGAAAAUUCACACUGUGACGGUAGCUUACCAGAAAGGGACGGCUAACUACGUGCCAGCAGCCGCGGUAAUACGUAGGUCCCGAGCGUUGUCCGGAUUUAUUGGGCGUAAAGCGAGCGCAGGCGGUUUGAUAAGUCUGAAGUUAAAGGCUGUGGCUCAACCAUAGUUCGCUUUGGAAACUGUCAAACUUGAGUGCAGAAGGGGAGAGUGGAAUUCCAUGUGUAGCGGUGAAAUGCGUAGAUAUAUGGAGGAACACCGGUGGCGAAAGCGGCUCUCUGGUCUGUAACUGACGCUG
rnacentral:rRNA from 1 species